CAGGGUCCUCUGGGGAUGGAUGGUAAGCCUGGUCCUCCUGGUCCCAAAGGCCCUCAGGGAAUGCCCGGGCCAAAAGGAGAUAAGGGUGAUCAGGGAGACAUGGGGCCUAGGGU